rnacentral:rRNA from 1 species
UACAGAGACUGCAAGCGUUAUUCGGAUUCACUGGGCGUAAAGGGUGCGCAGGCGGCCAAGUGUGUUAGGCGUGAAAGCCCGGGGCUUAACCCCGGAAUUGCACCUAAAACUACAUGGCUAGAGCAUUGGAGAGGGUAGCGGAAUUCACGGUGUAGCAGUGAAAUGCGUAGAUAUCGUGAGGAACACCAGAGGCGAAGGCGGCUACCUGGACAAUUGCUGACGCUCAUGCACGACAGCGUGGGGAUCAAACAGG